rnacentral:rRNA from 1 species
UACGUAGGGUGCAAGCGUUGUCCGGAAUUAUUGGGCGUAAAGAGCUCGUAGGCGGUUUGUCGCGUCUGCUGUGAAAACUCGGGGCUUAACCCCGGGCCUGCAGUGGGUACGGGCAGACUAGAGUGCGGUAGGGGAGACUGGAAUUCCUGGUGUAGCGGUGAAAUGCGCAGAUAUCAGGAGGAACACCGGUGGCGAAGGCGGCAUCCUGGACCAACACUGACACUGAGGAGCGAAAGCCAGGGGAGCAAACGGG